GGCGCCUUGGUAGAACGGUCAUACAGGAGCCUGCAAAGCUCUGGAAGCCGGUUCGACUCCGGCAGGUGCCUCCA
rnacentral:tRNA from 1 species